ensembl:snoRNA
GCUCUGUGAUGAACCCAUGCGUGUCAUCUGAGCCCGGCUUCCGUGUCCCCUCAGCCCUGGGGGGCGUUCUGCUUUCCAGGGCUGCCAGCGGGCCCAGCGUGGGAGUCGUGGGCAAAGGAUCAGCCUUCGUCUUCUGAGAGU